rnacentral:rRNA from 1 species
CUACGGGUGGCUCCAGUGGGGAAUAUUGGACAAUGGGCGAAAGCCUGAUCCAGCCAUGCCGCGUGAGUGAUGAAGGCCCUAGGGUUGUAAAGCUCUUUCGUCAGGGACGAUAAUGACGGUACCUGAAGAAGAAGCCCCGGCUAACUUCGUGCCAGCAGCCGCGGUAAUACGAAGGGGGCUAGCGUUGUUCGGAAUCACUGGGCGUAAAGCGCACGUAGGCGGAUCUUUAAGUCAGGGGUGAAAUCCCGGGGCUCAACCUCGGAACUGCCUUUGAUACUGGGGAUCUCGAGUCCGGGAGAGGUGAGUGGAAUUGCGAGUGUAGAGGUGAAAUUCGUAGAUAUUCGCAAGAACACCAGUGGCGAAGGCGGCUCACUGGCCCGGUACUGACGCUGAGGUGCGAAAGCGUGGGGAGCAAACAGGAUUAGAUACCCCUGUAGUC